rnacentral:rRNA from 1 species
GACGAACGCUGGCGGCGUGCUUAACACAUGCAAGUCGAACGGAAAGGCCCUGCUUUUGUGGGGUGCUCGAGUGGCGAACGGGUGAGUAACACGUGAGUAACCUGCCCUUGACUUUGGGAUAACUUCAGGAAACUGGGGCUAAUACCGGAUAGGAGCUCCUGCUGCAUGGUGGGGGUUGGAAAGUUUCGGCGGUUGGGGAUGGACUCGCGGCUUAUCAGCUUGUUGGUGGGGUAGUGGCUUACCAAGGCUUUGACGGGUAGCCGGCCUGAGGGGGUGACCGGCAACAUGGGACCUGGGUACCGGCCCGAACUCUUACGGGAGGCAGAGGUGGGGAAAAUUGCACAAUGGGCGGAGGCCGGAUGAGGCAAGGCCGCGGGCGGGAUGACGGCCUUCGGGUUGUAAACCGCUUUCGCCUGUGAGGAGGCGGGGGUAAGGGUAAUGGGUAAGAAGCACCGGCUAACUACGUG